rnacentral:rRNA from 1 species
CAGUCGCCACGGUAAUACGUAGGUGGCGAGCGUUGUCCGGAUUUAUUGGGCGUAAAGGGAGUGUAGGCGGUCUUUUAGGUCUGAUGUGAAAGCCCACGGCUCAACCGUGGAGGGUCAUUGGAAACUGGGAAACUUGAGUGCAGAAGAGGAGAGUGGAAUUCCACGUGUAGCGGUGAAAUGCGUAGAGAUGUGGAGGAACACCAGUGGCGAAGGCGACUCUCUGGUCUGUAACUGACGCUGAGGAGCGAAAGCGUGGGGAGCGAACAGGAUUAGAUACCCCUGUAGUCCCUGUCUCUAUACC